AGUGCUCUGAUCACUUCGGGGGAAAUCAGAGCAAGCAGGCGGGGUCUGAGCCCACGCUUGCUGGGAAAGAAGUCACUUCAAGGUUCUGCCAGAGCUAGUGGGAGGCAGAAGCUCGGCUGGGGUUUGUAGUCUAGCCAGCAAGGGGGGAGACGGGGAGAAGCGCUUCAGCCAAGGAUUCAGUCGGGAAUGGGAAGGCGCCCUCGGAAGGGUGGGCAGUUUGGGAUGGAAGAGGGAUCAAAGGGAGGACUUAGAUGAGGCGAGCUUAGAGUGUGAGGACGAUGAGAGUAUCUCUUAGACAACAGAGAUACAAGUUGGGAAAGGCUGUGUUCUGAAAUACUGCCCCUAUCGUCUGCUUCUCUCUUAUUUCUCCAAGCAGAAUUUAAAGACUGCCGUUGUAAAUCCAAGAGUCAACUUGGGUCCAAUCCAUUUUCGAGCUUCAAAACUGGAAUUCUGUACUGAGAAAGGUAUCUUGUGUGAACACUAGGAGUCCAGGUCCUUAAGCCAGUGCUCCAGCUCUGUCCUUUUCCCUCCCUGUUAAAUCAAGUUUCCCCCAUUUCCACCACUUCCCCUCUGUCUCUUUCCCUCCCCCUUUCUCUCCUCUCUCCCUCCCUUUCUCUUUCUCUCUCCUCUCUCCCUUCCUCUCCCCCUCCCCUCUCUCUCCUCUCCUUCCCUCUCCCUCUCUCCUCCCUCCCUCUCUCGCUCCAACUCUGUCCUUUUCCCUCCAUUACAUCAAGUUUCCCCCAUUUCCACCUCUUCACCUCUCUCUCUCCCUCCCUCUUUCUCUCCCUCUCCCCCCUCUCUCUCCCCUCCUUCCCUCUCCCUCCCUCUUUUUCUCCUCUCUCCCCCCUCUCUUCCUCUCUCCUCUCUCUCCUUUAUACCCUGUCCUUCUCCAAUUCUUUUCCAUCCCCUUUUUCUUCAUUCUUUCAUUCCCCUUCUAUCACCUUAUAGUCAUGAUCUUAGCAGCCCAGGAUGUCUACUGAAUCAUCCCCCUAUUGUGACAACAGAUUGUCUUUAUAGGCCGGGGUUAGUGCCAUUUUCAGUUAGAUAUGGAAAGAGUCUGGUGGUUUCCACAGCUAUUCCUGGGUAUCUUCUUUUAUUUUUUCAAAAGUUUCUCCAUCUAGCUCUGACUGUCCUGGAACUCUGUAGACCAGGCUGGCCUCGAACUCAGAGAUCCACCUGCUGGGAUCAAAAGUGUGUGCCACCACUGCCCGGCUUUGUAACUGUGUGCAAGUGCAAGCGUGAUCAAAUGUGUGCACAAGCCACAGACAUUAGGCAUCAGAUCCCUUGGAGCUGGAGUUACAGGUAGUUGUGAACCACCUAACACGAGUACUCAAAGAACUCUGAAAGAACUGGAAGUAUUCUUAACCACCAUGCCAUCUCUCUAGUCCUAUUCCUGUAACUAUUUUUAAAUAAUGUCUAAAAGCUGGGAAGAAUCCUAAAGAGUCUAGGAAGGUGAGAAAGCUCAGUUGAUAGAAUCUGAUAUGAAGCUCUUUUGGGAAACCAGUCACAGGCAACAUGAGGGAAUAAAAUCAUCAGAGGCUUGAAAUCUCACAUACAUUUUUAAAAGUUACUAUUUAAUUUUCAAAGAUUAAAUGUAGCUUGGGAGAAAAUUAAAUUGGAGCCCUAUCUCUAAAUAUAUACAAAAUCCAGUUUCAAAUGGAUUCAAAACAAAUGAUAAAGGCAAAACUUUAGGAAUUGUGGAAUAUAUAGGAGAGUAUCUUUAUAAAUUUAGAAUAUGGAGAGGUUGUUUGUUUUACUGUUUGUUGUAGUUUGGUUGAUUUGGUUUUCUUCUUUUUUGGGGGGGGGGAGCAGGGUCUCUGCAUUGUCCUAACUGUCCUGGAACUCACUUUGUAGACCAGACUGGCCUCAAACUCAAGAGAUUCACCUGCCUCUGCCUCCCAAGUGCUGGGAUUAAAGGCGUGUGCCACCACACCUGGCCAGUUUUUUAUUUUUAUUUUAUACUUUCAUAUAUGUACCAAUGAAUAUGGGUCAUAUCCACCCUCAUAUCAACAUCUGUCCUCUAAAGCCCCAUCGUAUCCCACACAUUUUUGUGAUUCAGAGUCCAAUUGGUCCUACCCACAUGUGCAUAGUAUGCACCUGCAAGAAAAUUGACAAUUCCUUGGCAGGUAUCAACUUCUAAUAGCUCUUCAACUGGAAAGGAGCCUCGUCCAUCCAUGCUGGAAGGUUCACUGGCUUGCUCUUUUACCGGUCUUGUACAGGUCUCUUGCAGGUGACCACAGCUGCUGUGAAUUCACAAGUGCAUGGCUCUGUCAUAUCUAAAAGGCAGCAUUUCCCAGUACUGCCCUCCAUCCUCCAGCUCUUUCCAUUCUGUCCAGUCCUUGUAGCAUAACGGCCCCUGAACUUUGGAGUAGUGGUGAUACACACACAUCUCAUUUAGGGCUAGGCACUCAUUCUAGUCACUUAUUCUCAACAGUUUGAGCGUUGUGAGUUUCUGCAUAAACUUAUCUAGAGAAAAAAGAAGCUCCUUGGAGAGCAGCACUAAACUAUGAAUAUAAAUACAGAUAUUUAGAAGGCAGGUUGACAGAAAUGACCAUUUAGAAAAACAGUACUAGUAGGUUCUCCCCCUAGGGCCUAUGACCUGCCCAGACAUGGACGUUUGACCAGAUUUAUAGUAGCAGGCAUGAAUUCCCUUUUGUGGACCAGAACCAGGUCUCAAAUCUAAUCAGAGUGGUUGGUUACACCCUAUAAUAGUCAUGCCAUUACUACACCAGUGGGCACAUCUUACCUGGAAGGUUGGUAUUAUAGCAUGCAGGGUCCACUGCUGGGUAAGAUGUCUUUUCUACCCUAGUGACUUGGCUAGCACCUGGAACUCUUGAAAGCUAGUCAGCCUAGAGGAAAUUGCCUUGUCAGUCCCAGAUUUCUCUAUUCUCAGCAGCUAAGUGUGUGAUGCCAUUAGCACUAGGCUCUUAGCAUCUAAUUAUGGUGAACAACCAAGAGAAAGCAGCAGUAGCCUAUGUGUUAGGCUCCUCUGGGAACCUCCCUUACCAAUAACUUGGCAUUGAGAUUUUUAUUUAAUAACUCAUUUCUUCUGGGAACACCUAUGAUUUUUUUAAAACAUGAUGGCCUGUAACUUACUAUUUAGUCCAAAUUGGCCUCCAAUUUUUAAGUCCUACAUCAGCCUCCCAACUGCUGGGAUUAUGGGUUUGACCCAACAUACCUUAUAAGAAAUUUCUUCAAUGACUAGAAACGCUUCUUUCAAAGAAAAAGAUGGGCACAUAUGACUAAAUUUAAGUUUACCAAAAUUCACCAUUGGGAUGUGAAAUGAGGGCUAGAAGAGGGCUCAGUGGAUAGGAACACUUACUGGGCCAUGGUAGAGCACACAUUUAAUCCCAGCACUGGAGGCAGAUGCAGACAAACCUCUGGGUUCAAGGCUAGCCUGGUCUACAGAGAAAGUUCUAGGACUACAGACAGGAACCCUGUCUU
rnacentral:lncRNA from 1 species